UACCAGCACCCCGGGUGGUCGGGUCGAUUAUUGGGCCUAAAGCAUCCGUAGCCGGUUUUACAAGUCCUCCGUUAAAUCCAACUGCUUAACAGAUGGGCCGCGGAGGAUACUAUAAGACUAGGAGGCAGGAGAGGCAAGCGGUACUCAGUGGGUAGGGGUAAAAUCCGUUGAUCCAUUGAAGACCACCAGUGGCGAAGGCGGCUUGCCAGAAUGCGCUCGACGGUGAGGGAUGAAAGCUGGGGGAGCAAACAGG
rnacentral:rRNA from 1 species